AGCGUAGACGGUGUGGCAAGUCUGAUGUGAAAGGCAUGGGCUCAACCUGUGGACUGCAUUGGAAACUGUCAUACUUGAGUGCCGGAGGGGUAAGCGGAAUUCCUAGUGUAGCGGUGAAAUGCGUAGAUAUUAGGAGGAACACCAGUGGCGAAGGCGGCUUACUGGACGGUAACUGACGUUGAGGCUCGAAAGCGUGGGAGCAAACG
rnacentral:rRNA from 1 species